rnacentral:lncRNA from 1 species
GAGAAGGAGUGAAUCAACAGAUGAACUUAGGGGAAGGGAAGGACACAGAAGAUAAAAACAGAGGCGGAGAAAACCCACGAGAGGCCCCUAAAUACAGAGAACAAACUGAGGGGUGCCGGAGGGGAGGGGGUGCGGGCCGGGCCGGAUGGGGGAUGGGCAUUCAGGAGGGCACGUGUCGGGAUGAGCGCUGGGCGUCGUACGGAAGGGAUGAAUCCCUGGGUCCUACUCCUGAAACCAGGGCCACGCUGUAUGUUGACGAACUCGAGUAUUGACAAACCAAAAACAAAAACAAGAAUGAGUGACCAGCCCAUUUCUCUUCACAGGCAGACCCCGCGCUGGAAGACAAAGCCAGAGUUGUGGCGUGCCGAGUUGCGACAAGAGACGUUUCUCAGGGCGCCUGGGGGGCCCAGUCGGUUGAGCGUGGGACUUCGGCUCAGGCGCUGUUCGAGGGCCGAUGCGUUACACGUGCCGAGUAUCCACCGACCACGAUUAUUUCCGUGCUGUUGUAUUAGCUUCCUACGGCCUAUGGCUGCCCUAACAGAGCACCUCCGGCCGAGCGGCUUAACCACGAACGUGACCCCCGCAGAGUUCUGAAGCUGUGCGUCCCCAACCCACGUAUCGGCGGGGCCCGUUUCUCUCUGGGGCGAGAACCGGUUCUCACCGCUUCCCCGGCAUCUGCUGUCCUGGUGCUCCUCGCGAUUUCUGGGCUCGGAAGGCACUUCGCGCCGGUCCCUGCCGCUGUCAUCGAAAGUCUUCCUCCCGCUGGGUGUUUCCCCUCCGUCUGACGUGCAUUCCCACGUGGUGGUGCCUGGAGGUGGGGGCCUUCGGGCAGUGGUUCAGUUCCGAGGAGGGUCCCCGGGGUGGGGUCCCCGCGAUGGGAGGCGCAUCCUUAUGAGAAGAGACACCAGAGAGACAGAGAGAGAGAGAGAGCUUGAGGGCUCCACCUCUCUGUCUCUGUGUCUCUCUCUCUGGCUUCUGAGGCCACAGGGAGAAGACUAGAGGUCUAUAAGCCAGGAAGAGGACUCACCAGAACCCGCCCAGAACUGUGACGAAUGAAUGAAAGUCUGUGGUUCCAGCCCCUCCCUCCCCCCACCGUCGCCGGUCGUCUUUUGUUACGGCCGCUGAGCUGCCCAGCUCAACAUUCUCUGUGUCUCUGCCUCUCUCGGGCCCUGCUCCACGUGGCCCCAUCUUCCCUGGACACAUCUGAAAUGUUCCGGUUCCCAACAGAGCUGCGCCCUGAGGUUCUGGGGGUGGGAAUCUGGGAGGACACUUUUCGACCCAGUCCAGCGGCCGCCCUGUUUGUUGCUCUCUCCAGCCCUAUAAUAACCUGCCGAGGUCAGAAUUAUCACGCCCAUUUCUCAGAUGAGGACGCGGAGGCUCAGGGGCUUGAGGGUCCAAGCAGCUGCCCAGUGACAAACGUGGGACUUGUAGCCAGACUCUCAGCAGCCGGGACCUGAUGGAGAAGGCAGGAUUUGGCCUUCAGGGUCCUGAACCUCACCACCCCUCUCCAGCUCUGCAACCAGCAUCAUGGGCCAUAAACGGGAACCCCAAAGAAGAAAAAGAAAACUCCAAUUGGCUCCGUAGGUUGACCACCAAAAGUUCUCUCCUGAGAGCAGAGUUUGAAGUUUUAAUAUUUUAGGCGGGCAGGCAAUGCUUCUUGUCUAGACGCAGGGAAAUGUUCAGACGCAGACUUCUGUCCAACGCUCCAGCCAGUACAGGCCGUCCCCACGCACCCCCCAGAUUAGGGGGUGUCAUUUACUUUGCGUUGGCGAACCGACAUCACAGAGGCUCUGGCCGUCGGCAGGAGGCCUUGGACCCCAGAGAUGCCGGCUGCCGUGCUGUCUUUUCCCGGACGAUUGAGCUGCUUACGAAUCAAUAAACACAAGGUUGAUCCGGACGAGGGCUUCCUC